UCUAUAAUUAAAUUAAAAUUUAGAAUAAUUUAAUAGAGGCCCAGAGUUCGAAUUUUACUAAGCAAAAGUUUGGUUUUAUUUGAUUUUUAACUAUGGGAAAAAUUACCAAAGUUGACCCGGGCUUUUGUGCAAUAAUAAAAAAUGUUGGGCCCUUUCUUGUAAUUUUCCCCAAAGUUUUUGACCAGCAUUUUAAGGAGCAAACUGAUGCAGAAACGCAGAGAAAAUGAGAAAGGAAGCAAACGCACAAACGGGAGAGAGAGAGAGAGAGGAAGAAGAGAAGAGAAAGGGAGGGAGUUAGGCUUGGAUCUAGGAGUCUUUGCGACCGUUGCGAGCUCGGCUACACGAUAGAAAAUUGUUGGUGGAACUUAUUGAGAAGUAAGGAACAAGCCGAGCCCUAUUUUGUACAAGGGGAACCCUUUUAGUACCAAAGGGUUGAGGUCCAGGCGAAGGAUCCAGUGGUGGACGGGGAAAAGAGCAAAGCUAGGGGUUUGCUUGUGAUUUGUAAAGAACUGCAACCCCUUUCUUUUGAGCAAAUAUAUUGUAAUGUAUUUAAGAUUAGGGUGCCAGUAGGAUAUGAUUAUGUGUGUGUGUGAAUAUGUGUGGAUUGUGUGCUUGUGUAUGAAUUUUUGUCUGUUUGCAGACUUGUGGCUAGGAAACUUGGUUAUGGUGUGUGGUUUUGAUGGAUUUACUUAGUAGACCAAGUUUCUAUUACA